rnacentral:tRNA from 2 species
GGGCGCAUAGCUCAGUUGGCAGAGCAGCUGACUCUUAAUCAGCGGGUCGUAGGUUCGAGUCCUACUGCGCCCACCA